rnacentral:tRNA from 1 species
UCCCAUGUGGUCUAAUGGCUAGAAUGUUUGGCUUCAAUCCAGAAGGCUCGGGUUCGAUUCCCGGUAUUGAAA